rnacentral:rRNA from 1 species
ACUAUCAUUAACUGAAUCCAUAGGUUAAUGAGGCGAACCGGGGGAACUGAAACAUCUAAGUACCCCGAGGAAAAGAAAUCAACCGAGAUUCCCCCAGUAGCGGCGAGCGAACGGGGAGCAGCCCAGAGCCUGAAUCAGUGUGUGUGUUAGUGGAAGCGUCUGGAAAGGCGCGCGAUACAGGGUGACAGCCCCGUACACAAAAAUGCACAUGCUGUGAGCUCGAUGAGUAGGGCGGGACACGUGGUAUCCUGUCUGAAUAUGGGGGGACCAUCCUCCAAGGCUAAAUACUCCUGACUGACCGAUAGUGAACCAGUACCGUGAGGGAAAGGCGAAAAGAACCCCGGCGAGGGGAGUGAAAAAGAACCUGAAACCGUGUACGUACAAGCAGUGGGAGCACAGAGCAAUCUGUGUGACUGCGUACCUUUUGUAUAAUGGGUCAGCGACUUAUAUUCUGUAGCAAGGUUAACCGAAUAGGGGAGCCGAAGGGAAACCGAGUCUUAACUGGGCGUUAAGUUGCAGGGUAUAGACCCGAAACCCGGUGAUCUAGCCAUGGGCAGGUUGAAGGUUGGGUAACACUAACUGGAGGACCGAACCGACUAAUGUUGAAAAAUUAGCGGAUGACUUGUGGCUGGGGGUGAAAGGCCAAUCAAACCGGGAGAUAGCUGGUUCUCCCCGAAAGCUAUUUAGGUAGCGCCUCGUGAAUUCAUCUCCGGGGGUAGAGCACUGUUUCGGCAAGGGGGUCAUCCCGACUUACCAACCCGAUGCAAACUGCGAAUACCGGAGAAUGUUAUCACGGGAGACACACGGCGGGUGCUAACGUCCGUCGUGAAGAGGGAAACAACCCAGACCGCCAGCUAAGGUCCCAAAGUCAUGGUUAAGUGGGAAACGAUGUGGGAAGGCCCAGACAGCCAGGAUGUUGGCUUAGAAGCAGCCAUCAUUUAAAGAAAGCGUAAUAGCUCACUGGUCGAGUCGGCCUGCGCGGAAGAUGUAACGGGGCUAAACCAUGCACCGAAGCUGCGGCAGCGACGCUUAUGCGUUGUUGGGUAGGGGAGCGUUCUGUAAGCCUGUGAAGGUGUGCUGUGAGGCAUGCUGGAGGUAUCAGAAGUGCGAAUGCUGACAUAAGUAACGAUAAAGCGGGUGAAAAGCCCGCUCGCCGGAAGACCAAGGGUUCCUGUCCAACGUUAAUCGGGGCAGGGUGAGUCGACCCCUAAGGCGAGGCCGAAAGGCGUAGUCGAUGGGAAACAGGUUAAUAUUCCUGUACUUGGUGUUACUGCGAAGGGGGGACGGAGAAGGCUAUGUUGGCCGGGCGACGGUUGUCCCGGUUUAAGCGUGUAGGCUGGUUUUCCAGGCAAAUCCGGAAAAUCAAGGCUGAGGCGUGAUGACGAGGCACUACGGUGCUGAAGCAACAAAUGCCCUGCUUCCAGGAAAAGCCUCUAAGCAUCAGGUAACAUCAAAUCGUACCCCAAACCGACACAGGUGGUCAGGUAGAGAAUACCAAGGCGCUUGAGAGAACUCGGGUGAAGGAACUAGGCAAAAUGGUGCCGUAACUUCGGGAGAAGGCACGCUGAUAUGUAGGUGAAGUCCCUCGCGGAUGGAGCUGAAAUCAGUCGAAGAUACCAGCUGGCUGCAACUGUUUAUUAAAAACACAGCACUGUGCAAACACGAAAGUGGACGUAUACGGUGUGACGCCUGCCCGGUGCCGGAAGGUUAAUUGAUGGGGUCAGCGCAAGCGAAGCUCUUGAUCGAAGCCCCGGUAAACGGCGGCCGUAACUAUAACGGUCCUAAGGUAGCGAAAUUCCUUGUCGGGUAAGUUCCGACCUGCACGAAUGGCGUAAUGAUGGCCAGGCUGUCUCCACCCGAGACUCAGUGAAAUUGAACUCGCUGUGAAGAUGCAGUGUACCCGCGGCAAGACGGAAAGACCCCGUGAACCUUUACUAUAGCUUGACACUGAACAUUGAGCCUUGAUGUGUAGGAUAGGUGGGAGGCUUUGAAGUGUGGACGCCAGUCUGCAUGGAGCCGACCUUGAAAUACCACCCUUUAAUGUUUGAUGUUCUAACGUUGACCCGUAAUCCGGGUUGCGGACAGUGUCUGGUGGGUAGUUUGACUGGGGCGGUCUCCUCCUAAAGAGUAACGGAGGAGCACGAAGGUUGGCUAAUCCUGGUCGGACAUCAGGAGGUUAGUGCAAUGGCAUAAGCCAGCUUGACUGCGAGCGUGACGGCGCGAGCAGGUGCGAAAGCAGGUCAUAGUGAUCCGGUGGUUCUGAAUGGAAGGGCCAUCGCUCAACGGAUAAAAGGUACUCCGGGGAUAACAGGCUGAUACCGCCCAAGAGUUCAUAUCGACGGCGGUGUUUGGCACCUCGAUGUCGGCUCAUCACAUCCUGGGGCUGAAGUAGGUCCCAAGGGUAUGGCUGUUCGCCAUUUAAAGUGGUACGCGAGCUGGGUUUAGAACGUCGUGAGACAGUUCGGUCCCUAUCUGCCGUGGGCGCUGGAGAACUGAGGGGGGCUGCUCCUAGUACGAGAGGACCGGAGUGGACGCAUCACUGGUGUUCGGGUUGUCAUGCCAAUGGCACUGCCCGGUAGCUAAAUGCGGAAGAGAUAAGUGCUGAAAGCAUCUAAGCACGAAACUUGCCCCGAGAUGAGUUCUCCCUGACUCCUUGA